GAAAUAAAUAUUUGUUGUUCGAUAGUAAAAAAUGUACUGAUAAGGACUAUAUUUUUAUUAAAAAAAAAGUAAUUUAUUUUUUGUACCUUUUGUAUCAGGGUAAAUUAAAUUUUUAUAAUUGAUUUAUUAUAUUCCCGAAUAUAAAAUAUUUAUUUAAAAAUGUUAGUUAAUGUAGUAUAAUUAUUAAUAAUUUUUUUAUAGUAAUGAAAUGUUAACGCUUUUAUGGUUAUCUGGUUUCUUAAGAUUAAAAUUUAAUUUUAUAUUAUUAUAUUUUUAAUUUAAUUUUAUUAAUUAUUUUAUUAUAAUAUUAAAUAAAUAGGGAUAAGCUUAUUUUUAUUUAAUAAUAAAUUAAAAAUUUAAAUUUUUGUAGGCUUAAAAACAGCAUUUCAUUUUAAAACGUAAUUGUUAAUUUUUUUUAUUUUGUAUUUUUUUUUUAUUUUAUUUAAUAUUAAGAUUUAAUUUAAAAUUAUUUUAUUUUUUAAUAAUGAUUUAAUUAGUAUAAUUUAAAUUAAUUUUAUAGUAAUUAGGCAAAUUUCAUUUUCCACCUGUUUAUCAAAAACAUGUUUUUUAGUAUUUAUAUUAAAAAUUUAAUCUGCCCUAUGAUUAUUUAAAUGGCCGCGGUAAUUUGACCGUGCAAAGGUAGCAUAAUAAUUUGUCUUUUAAUUAAAGUCUGGUAUGAAUGAUUGGAUGAGAAAAUUACUUUCUUUAUUAUUUUUUUAUAAUUUAAUUUUUAAGUGAAAAAGCUUAAAUUAAUCUAUGGGACGAUAAGACCCUAUAGAGCUUUAUAUUAUUAUAUAUGUAUAUAUAUAUAAUUAAUAAAUAUAUUUAUAUUAAUAAUAUUUAAUUGGGGUGAUUAAUAAAUAAUAAUAACUUUAUUUUAUAAUUAUCAUUAAUUAAUGAAAUAUUGAUCCAAUAAUAUUGAUUAUAAGAUAAAGUUACCUUAGGGAUAACAGCGUUAUUUAUUUGGAGAGUUCAAAUCGAUAAAUAAGUUUGCGACCUCGAUGUUGGAUUAAGAUAAGUUUAGGGGGUAGAUUUUCUAAAUUCUAGGUCUGUUCGACCUUUAAUUUCUUACAUGAUCUGAGUUCAAACCGGUGUAAGCCAGGUUGGUUUCUAUCUGUAGAUAUUUUAAAUUAUAUUAGUACGAAAGGACCAUUAUAAUUAAUUCACAAUUUAUUAAUUAAUUUUUAAAUUAAG
rnacentral:rRNA from 1 species